rnacentral:lncRNA from 1 species
UGCUUGGAAUGUCCAACGGGCUUCUAUUGCCCUGGGGGUCAAAAAGCUCCAAGGAAAUGCCCACUGGGAACAGCCAAUGAACUUACAGCUCAAGUGGACAUCACAGCCUGCCAGGUCUGUCCCAAAGGCUAUCUCAGCCUAGAGAGUGGAGCUGGAUGUCGUGCAUGCCCGGAUGGCUAUUCCUGUGAUCCACGUAAUGGUGUGCAGAGGAGCUGUAAUCCUGGCCAGUAUUCUCCAGAGGGAGAGUUGGAGUGCCUGGAAUGCCCAGAGAGCCAUGUCUGCCCAGAUGGACGGAGCAGGCAGCACUGUUUGGCUGGGCAGGAGCCGGAUCCAAGCCGCACUCGUUGCGUUACCUAUGCCCGUGGUUCUGUCUCAGCUGAAGGCACACUGAUAUGCCAGCCCUGUCCAGCAGGUCACUUCUGUGCUGACAGCCUUACAGGCACUCCUCCAUGCCCAGCAGGGAGCUUCAAGCCCAAAGAGGGGAUUCUCAUGCCCAGCAGCAGCUCUUCGUUCUUACCCGG